rnacentral:lncRNA from 1 species
CGGGAACCCGAAUUCGCACAAUUAUUCGGCGACAAUUGUGUAGGGGUGUUAUCUUGUGUUUACUACCAAAACAUCCAAAUUGGAGUGUUUUGGGGCAGCAGGUGACUCGUGACACGAGUCGGUGAGUUUCGGGACACUUAGUGGGUCCCGACGGCGUCCCGGUGUGGUUUUCGGGACUUCCGGCCAGUUACGGUAAUCGGUAUUGGGAAACCGAUCUCCGUGGGAUUUUUUGUGGGUUAUGCUUUUAGGGUUUCUUAGUUGUGGGUUAGACACUAACCCAGUGGACCCCCCUUAGGUCCGGUUGACGUUCUUUUGCAGUCAGGAGACAGACGCGACAGUUGUGCAGGUGGGUACUUCGAUCCGACGUCGGUACAGUGGUGCACGCUUGGUGAUGGUUUCUUACCCUUACUCUUCUGUUGUUACUAUGGCAUAGUAUAUUGAGCCUUGCACCCUUGUUUAUUCGUUAUACACUACUCGUUGUUUGCAUGCUUAGUAUCCCGAGUAGGAGUAGAGCAGUUCUAUCUAUAUGCGUAUCUGUUGACUUAAUUGGUUGGUUGUUGCAUUCUGUAUCUGUUGACCUGGUUGGUCGGUUCUGGUACUUCGUUUCGGUGACCUGAUUGGUCGGUUCUCGUACAUCGUUCGAUGACCCUUGAGGUCGGUAUACCCUAAGGGGUGGGAUUGUCGGUUAGCACCGACGGAUGAUUAUAGUUUACUCAGUUCCACUGUUUGGUAUGUUUGUGACCUAGUCAGUCAGCUUCACGAGUCCCUGUCGUUUGAUGACCUUUGAGGUCGGUGUACCCUGAGGGGUAGGAUUGUCGGCCAUGGCCGACGGUAGUUCUAGAUUAUAUACUCAGAUGACUUGUUGAUCGAUUCUUGCAUAUAUACAGUAGUUGACCUAUUGAUCAGUAUCUACAUACUUUUGGUAGGAUGUUGAGUUGUUCCAUCCCAGUUGACUUGAUUAGUCAGUACUUGCAUACAGUUGAGAGGAUGUAGAGUCGUUCCA